ensembl:snoRNA
UCCCGAUGGUGAGUUGCCACCAUGUAGGGCAUUCUUGCCCUAGUUUGGGUGUCAGUGAGUUUAACAAUACUUCUAACAUGGAGAUCUGAGGGAC